rnacentral:SRP_RNA from 1 species
GGGUAAGUCCUAUACGACCAGCUCCCCAUGAAUUCCGCCAGGUCUUGACCGAAGCAACGGUAGUGGGUUGUAGCAGGUGCGAUGUAGGUAGCUUACCCUUU